rnacentral:rRNA from 1 species
UACGUAGGGUGCGAGCGUUAUUCGGAAUUACUGGGCGUAAAGCGUGCGUAGGUGGUUCGUUAAGUCUGAUGUGAAAGCCCUGGGCUCAACCUGGGAAUGGCAUUGGAAACUGGCGAUCUAGAGUGCGGUAGAGGGUAGUGGAAUUCCCGGUGUAGCAGUGAAAUGCGUAGAGAUCGGGAGGAACAUCUGUGGCGAAGGCGACUGCCUGGACCAGCACUGACACUGAGGCACGAAAGCGUGGGGAGCAAACAGG